rnacentral:misc_RNA from 1 species
ACUGCGGAAGGAUCAUUACCGAGUGAGGGUUUCUCUGAAGCCCAACCUCCCACCCGUGUAUACCGUACCCUGUUGCUUCGGCGGGCCCGCCUCACGGCCGCCGGGGGACCUCGCGUCCCCGGGCCCGCGCCCGCCGAAGACCCCAACACGAACACUGUCUGAAAAGUGCAGUCUGAGUCGAUUGUUACCAAUCAGUCAAAACUUUCAACAAUGGAUCUCUUGGUUCCGGCAUCGAUGAAGAACGCAGCGAAAUGCGAUAACUAAUGUGAAUUGCAGAAUUCAGUGAAUCAUCGAGUCUUUGAACGCACAUUGCGCCCCCUGGUAUUCCGGGGGGCAUGCCUGUCCGAGCGUCAUUGCUGCCCUCAAGCACGGCUUGUGUGUUGGGCCCCGUCCCCGGUACCCCCGGGGACGGGCCCGAAAGGCAGCGGCGGCACCGCGUCCGGUCCUCGAGCGUAUGGGGCUUUGUCACCCGCUCUGCAGGCCCGGCCGGCGCCAGCCGACCAACCCAACCAUUUUU